GGAGUUGUUUUGGUGGGCGUUUCUUCCUCUCUUAAUUCUGCCAAUAGCUCAUUCUCAGAGCUGUUCUCUUCAUCACUGGAGAAGGUGAUAACAGUUUUUUUGUGCCGAUGGGACUUUUGGGCACGUUUAUUGUUUCGGAGUGCUUGUGGCCGGGGUGUAACAAAAUCAUCAUCAUCAUCCCUGUUGGCUGUGCUCAGGGGCUGGCGGCGGCUGCCUAAUGUUGGUUUUUGCUUGGCUGGCUCUGGCAUUGGAGUUUUAUCACCUUCC
rnacentral:lncRNA from 1 species